rnacentral:misc_RNA from 1 species
GUUCACUAUUAUUAUCUAUUUGCUGGAGUUAAUUACAAUUAUCAUUUAACUUAUUAUCAUGUUGUUUCUCAUGAUUUUACUGAAUACAUUAAAAUUUUCGUAUGUAAGAACCAUUCUGACUUUCACUGAUAAUACUGGAUUAAUGGUUAUCCAACAAACACAGCUCAUCCGUUUGCUUACAACUUAAAAUUGCCACAUCUACUUUGUCGCAAAGUUUCUAUUAUUACUCUUGGCACUGAUCAAAAAUAGCUUAGG